AGCGAACGCUGGCGGCAGGCUUAACACAUGCAAGUCGAGCGGGCACUUUCGGGUGUCAGCGGCGGACGGGUGAGUAACGCGUGGGAACGUGCCCUCUGGUUCGGAAUAACUCAGGGAAACUUGAGCUAAUACCGGAUACGCCCUUUUGGGGAAAGGCUUGCUGCCGGAGGAUCGGCCCGCGUCUGAUUAGCUAGUUGGUGAGGUAACGGCUCACCAAGGCGACGAUCAGUAGCUGGUCUGAGAGGAUGAUCAGCCACACUGGGACUGAGACACGGCCCAGACUCCUACGGGAGGCAGCAGUGGGGAAUAUUGGACAAUGGGCGCAAGCCUGAUCCAGCCAUGCCGCGUGAGUGAUGAAGGCCUUAGGGUCGUAAAGCUCUUUUAUCCGGGACGAUAAUGACGGUACCGGAGGAAUAAGCCCCGGCUAACUUCGUG
rnacentral:rRNA from 1 species